rnacentral:rRNA from 1 species
CACGUAGGGGCCAAGCGUUGUCCGGAUUCAUUGGGCGUAAAGAGCUCGUAGGCGGUUCAGUCAGUCGGGUGUGAAAUCUCCGGGCUCAACCCGGAGGGGCCACCCGAUACUGCUGUGACUCGAGUCCGGUAGGGGAGUGGGGAAUUCCUGGUGUAGCGGUGAAAUGCGCAGAUAUCAGGAGGAACACCGGUGGCGAAGGCGCCACUCUGGGCCGGUACUGACGCUGAGGAGCGAAAGCGUGGGGAGCGAACAGG